rnacentral:lncRNA from 1 species
UUGAUGUUGUCUUGUUAUGCUCUAUGUUGUAAGACUUACUAUGUUGUUGUUGUCAUUAUGUUCUAUCAUGUCUCAUUUCGUUAUUGUUAUGUCAAACAUUCUGGUUUGCAUCAUGUAUGUCCAUGAAUUGUCAAGUCUUUUACCAUUCUUUUUGCUCAUAACAAAGGGAGAAAAGAUGUUUGUGUAUGUGUUUGCUUUUCUCUAACAUUUGCAGCAAGCAACAAAUUCUCAAAAACUCACAUUCAAAGAUCAAGGGGGAGUAAGG